GUGACUGCGUACCUUUUGUAUAAUGGGUCAGCGACUUAUAUUCUGUAGCAAGGUUAACCGAAUAGGGGAGCCGGAGGGAAACCGAGUCUUAAUUGGGCGUUAAGUUGCAGGGUAUAGACCCGAAACCCGGUGAUCUAGCCAUGGGCAGGUUGAAGGUUGGGUAACACUAACUGGAGGACCGAACCGACUAAUGUUGAAAAAUUAGCGGAUGACCUGUGGCUGGGGGUGAAAGGCCAAUCAAACCGGGAGAUAGCUGGUUCUCCCCGAAAGCUAUUUAGGUAGCGCCUCGUGAAUUCAUCUCCGGGGGUAGAGCACUGUUUCGGCUAGGGGGCCAUCCCGGCUUACCAACCCGAUGCAAACUGCGAAUACCGGAGAAUGUUAUCACGGGAGACACACGGCGGGUGCUAACGUCCGUCGUGAAGAGGGAAACAACCCAGACCGCCAGCUAAGGUCCCAAAGUCAUGGUUAAGUGGGAAACGAUGUGGGAAGGCCCAGACAGCCAGGAUGUUGGCUUAGAAGCAGCCAUCAUUUAAAGAAAGCGUAAUAGCUCACUGGUCGAGUCGGCCUGCGCGGAAGAUGUAACGGGGCUAAACCAUGCACCGAAGCUGCGGCAGCGACACUCAGGUGUUGUUGGGUAGGGGAGCGUUCUGUAAGCCUGUGAAGGUGGCCUGUGAGGGUUGCUGGAGGUAUCAGAAGUGCGAAUGCUGACAUAAGUAACGAUAAAGCGGGUGAAAAGCCCGCUCGCCGGAAGACCAAGGGUUCCUGUCCAACGUUAAUCGGGGCAGGGUGAGUCGACCCCUAAGGCGAGGCCGAAAGGCGUAGUCGAUGGGAAACGGGUUAAUAUUCCCGUACUUGGUGUUACUGCGAAGGGGGGACGGAGAAGGCUAUGUUGGCCGGGCGACGGUUGUCCCGGUUUAAGCGUGUAGGUGUGUGUUCCAGGUAAAUCCGGUUCACUUUAACACUGAGGCGUGAUGACGAGGCACUACGGUGCUGAAGCAACAAAUGCCCUGCUUCCAGGAAAAGCCUCUAAGCAUCAGGUAACAUCAAAUCGUACCCCAAACCGACACAGGUGGUCAGGUAGAGAAUACCAAGGCGCUUGAGAGAACUCGGGUGAAGGAACUAGGCAAAAUGGUGCCGUAACUUCGGGAGAAGGCACGCUGACACGUAGGUGAAGUGAUUUACUCAUGGAGCUGAAGUCAGUCGAAGAUACCAGCUGGCUGCAACUGUUUAUUAAAAACACAGCACUGUGCAAACACGAAAGUGGACGUAUACGGUGUGACGCCUGCCCGGUGCCGGAAGGUUAAUUGAUGGGGUCAGCGCAAGCGAAGCUCCUGAUCGAAGCCCCGGUAAACGGCGGCCGUAACUAUAACGGUCCUAAGGUAGCGAAAUUCCUUGUCGGGUAAGUUCCGACCUGCACGAAUGGCGUAAUGAUGGCCAGGCUGUCUCCACCCGAGACUCAGUGAAAUUGAACUCGCUGUGAAGAUGCAGUGUACCCGCGGCAAGACGGAAAGACCCCGUGAACCUUUACUAUAGCUUGACACUGAACAUUGAGCCUUGAUGUGUAGGAUAGGUGGGAGGCUUUGAAGUGUGGACGCCAGUCUGCAUGGAGCCGACCUUGAAAUACCACCCUUUAAUGUUUGAUGUUCUAACGUGGACCCGUAAUCCGGGUUGCGGACAGUGUCUGGUGGGUAGUUUGACUGGGGCGGUCUCCUCCUAAAGAGUAACGGAGGAGCACGAAGGUUGGCUAAUCCUGGUCGGACAUCAGGAGGUUAGUGCAAUGGCAUAAGCCAGCUUGACUGCGAGCGUGACGGCGCGAGCAGGUGCGAAAGCAGGUCAUAGUGAUCCGGUGGUUCUGAAUGGAAGGGCCAUCGCUCAACGGAUAAAAGGUACUCCGGGGAUAACAGGCUGAUACCGCCCAAGAGUUCAUAUCGACGGCGGUGUUUGGCACCUCGAUGUCGGCUCAUCACAUCCUGGGGCUGAAGUAGGUCCCAAGGGUAUGGCUGUUCGCCAUUUAAAGUGGUACGCGAGCUGGGUUUAGAACGUCGUGAGACAGUUCGGUCCCUAUCUGCCGUGGGCGCUGGAGAACUGAGGGGGGCUGCUCCUAGUACGAGAGGACCGGAGUGGACGCAUCACUGGUGUUCGGGUUGUCAUGCCAAUGGCACUGCCCGGUAGCUAAAUGCGGAAGAGAUAAGUGCUGAAAGCAUCUAAGCACGAAACUUGCCCCGAGAUGAGUUCUCCCUGAGACUUAGAGUCUCCUGAAGGAACGUUGAAGACGACGACGUUGAUAGGCCGGGUGUGUAAGCGCAGCGAUGCGUU
rnacentral:rRNA from 1 species